AGAGUUUGAUCCUGGCUCAGAUUGAACGCUGGCGGCAUGCCUUACACAUGCAAGUCGAACGGCAGCGCGGGGCAACCUGGCGGCGAGUGGCGAACGGGUGAGUAAUAUAUCGGAACGUGCCCUGGAGUGGGGGAUAACGCAGCGAAAGUUGCGCUAAUACCGCAUACGAUCUAAGGAUGAAAGCAGGGGACCGCAAGGCCUUGUGCUCCUGGAGCGGCCGAUAUCUGAUUAGCUAGUUGGUGGGGUAAAGGCCUACCAAGGCAUCGAUCAGUAGCUGGUCUGAGAGGACGACCAGCCACACUGGAACUGAGACACGGUCCAGACUCCUACGGGAGGCAGCAGUGGGGAAUUUUGGACAAUGGGCGAAAGCCUGAUCCAGCAACGCCGCGUGAGUGAAGAAGGCCUUCGGGUUGUAAAGCUCUUUUGUCAGGGAAGAAACGGUGUGGGC
rnacentral:rRNA from 1 species